CCCCAAGAGUGAGCAUGGAGAGAGAAGAAGCCCACCACGGACUGAGCCCUGGGACCUUCGAACAUGAAGUGAUGGAGUACAGGACAAACCAGCAGAGAAGAAUAAGAAAUGAAACCAGAACCUGAAUUACACCAUGUUGGUGAGAUUCCAACUACUGUCAGCACGUGGACUCAUUUACAUGAUAGAAAGAAGCAGCAAGUCACCAACAAUUAGUAGAAGAUACCCAUAGGUUAAAAGAAAAGUGGAUGUAAUAUAGUCAAUUUAUCAUACAUUUGGGGAAUUUCAAGCUUCUGGUUUUAUUUAAUGAAUAAAGAAGAAUGUUCAAGAAGACA
rnacentral:lncRNA from 13 species